rnacentral:rRNA from 1 species
AGCGAACGCUGGCGGCAGGCCUAACACAUGCAAGUCGAACGAAGUCUUCGGACUUAGUGGCGGACGGGUGAGUAACACGUGGGAACGUGCCUUUAGGUUCGGAAUAACUCAGGGAAACUUGUGCUAAUACCGAAUGUGCCCUUCGGGGGAAAGAUUUAUCGCCUUUAGAUCGGCCCGCGUCUGAUUAGCUAGUUGGUGAGGUAAAGGCUCACCAAGGCUACGAUCAGUAGCUGGUUUGAGAGGAUGACCAGCCACAUUGGGACUGAGACACAGCCCAGACUCCUACGGGAGGCAGCAGUGAGGAAUCUUGCGCAAUGGGCGAAGGUCUGACGCAGCCAUGCCGCGUGGAUGAUGAAGGUCUUAGGAUUGUAAAAUCCUUUCACCGGUGAAGAUAAUGACUGUAGCCGGAGAAGAAGCCCCGGCUAACUUCGUGCCAGCCGCCGCCGUAACAC